rnacentral:lncRNA from 1 species
UGGCUGUGGCUGUGGUGUAGGCCAGUGGCUACAGCUUCGAUUCGACCCUUGGCCUGGGAACCUCCAUAUGACACUGGAGCCGCCCAAGAAAUGGCAAAAAGACAAAAAAAAUUUACUUGACUGAAGUAGAGUUGAUUUACGAUGUUGUGUUAGUUUCAGGCGUACAGCAAAGUGACUCGUGUAUUUGUGUGUGUGUGUGUGUGUGUGUACACGUAUAUCUGAUGUGUAUGUAUAUACACACACAUCCUUUUUCAUACUCCUUUCCAGGGUGGUUUGUCACAGGAUGCUGAAUGUAGUUCGCUGUAGGGCAGGAGCCUGUUGUUUGUCCAUCCUGCAUACGUCUGCCUCUGCGAGACCCAAGCUCACUCCCAGUCCUUCCCUGCCCCACCCGCCUCCCCUUCGGCAGCCACAAGUCUGUUCCCUCUGUCCCAGAGUCUGCUUCUGCCUCGUAGACACGUUCGUUUGUGUUGAGUGUUUGUGAAGUUUCGUUAGAGUUGCUUUACGCGGGUGUGAUCAUGUCCGCUCUGCAACAACGUGAUUCAGGGACCCCUGUACCCACAGCCUUUCUCUCCCAGAUUCUCUUCCCACACAGAGGAUCCCAGAAUAUCGGGUAGAGGUCUCUGGGCUGCACGGCAGGUCCCCACUGGCCAGGACAACUCAGCGUACAGAUGCCAGUCCCAAACCCCAGGCUAUCUCUCCUCCCCCACAACUGUCCGCUUUGGUAACCGUACGCUUGUUUUCGAAGUCUGCCUGUCUGUUUCUGUUCUGCAGAUCAGUUUGUGCCACAUUUGAGACGCCACGUAUAAAUGAUAUCAUGUGACAUUUGUCUUCCACUGUCUGACUGACCUCACUUAGCAGGAGCAUCUCUAGGUCCGUCCCUGUUGCUGCAAACGGCAUCAUUUCACUCUUUUUACGGCUAACACUCCAUCGUGUAUAUGGACUACGUCUUCUUGAUCCAGUCCUCUGUUGAUGGACGUUUGGGGUGCUUCCAUGUCUCAGCUGUUGUGCAUAGAGCUGCAGUGAAUACUAGGGCGCACGUAUCUUUGUGAAUUACUGGUUCCUCCAGAGAGAGGCCCAGGCGUGGGAUUGCUGGUGGCAGUUCUGGUUUUAGUUUUUGCGUCCCCUCCGUACUGUUCCCCACAGUGGCAGCACCAGGUGACCUUCCCACCAGCAGUGUAGGUAGGUGGUUUUCUGAUCCCUGGCCUGGAGGACGAGAGUCCAGAGGGAAAGAGAAACUUUCCAUCCCCUCUUCCCUUCCGUGCAGUUCACGGGAUCCACAAACAACGCCUCCGGGAGAGGAACUGUUUUUAUCCUCAACACACUGAGUUGGAACCGCUAUUAAGAAAACUGCACAAGAACCCAGCUGGGAAGUGAAAGAGCCAAAACGCACUCCCACGCCGCGUUACUCCACAGCCUGCUCACUGCCACGUGUUACUACCCCACGGCUACGGGCGAGGGCUCGCUGCCUGGGGGGCACGGCAGCCAGCACCGCAGGCCCAGCUUUUGAGGAAAGAGGAGGCUUUGUUGCCAGGCCCAUGGCCAGGAAACAGGAGGCAGGGCUUCCAUCUGUCUUUCCCGUCCAGGGUUCAGGGUAAAAUUUAAGGGGUUCAGGGGACUUCAGACGUGGAAGCCAAUGGGCUCGUCUCAGUCUGUAGAAGCUGCUGGACGCCAGACUUUCCUCAUUGAAGGACGUCUCCCUUCCUCAAGGGCCCUGCCUGUAACACUUGCAUCCUUUGGGUCGCAGACUGAAGAGUCUUGGUUCCAGGGUCCCCUGAGAACGUGGGUUCCCAGGCUGGGGGUCCAAUCAGAGCUACAGCUGCUGGCCUCCACCACAGCUCACAGCUACGCCAGAUCCGAGCCUUGUCUGUGACCUAAACCACAGCUCACAGCAAUGCUGGAUCCUUCACCCACCAGAGGCCAGGGAUCAAACUUGCAUCCUCAUGGAUCCUCGUCGGCUUCAUUACCACAAGGGGAACUCUCUCGGGUCUCAUUUUAAAACCCAUUCCUGUUGAUGGAUGAGGUCUACGUAUAUCCUCAGGUGUCUUGAGGGACUUGUGAUCCCCCCGCUUCCCCCCCCACCACACACACACACAGCCCUUCCACACGGAUGGCCGGUUGGGGCUGGAGAAACACAGUUCCCUCCAUCUCUUCAGCACCCCCCACCAGGGGGUGAGAAGCAGCCCUGAGUGUGCAAGGACCUCCCCACCCCUCCGUGUUCGUCUCUCUCCCUUCAUCCUCUCCAUCCCCUGCGUCCAGGACACCUCCGAGCCCUCUCCCUGCACUGUCCCCGCUGAUGAGCAGCAAAACCCCUGGCUGACCACGCUGCCUCCACACCAGCCCUGGACGACUUUCUCCUUUUUAAAAAUCUUCCGCCAUGUUCACUUGACCCAAGGAACCCUUGUGUGACCACGUCGAAGUUUCAUCGGCAUCCCAAGGACAAGCCCCGCGCUCCAGCCUCCGACUCGCUGUGCGGGGGUCUCGGGUGUGCCUCGCAGUGACAGCGCUUCUCCGUCUGAAAGUUACCUUGAUCACAUACCCUUGACACAUUUCAGGAUUUCUUAUGAUCGACGGUGGCGAGAGAGGUUGCCGGCAGCCAAGCGUCCCAAACACACCUUGAAAUGUUCCCAUAACUAGUCGAGUCUGUUUUCCGAAUUGAUUUUACGCCGUUAAGAUGGAAUCAACUGCAAACAUCCCACCCUGUCCGUUGCUGAGCUACAUCUCACGGCAGGGGCAGGUCUUGUCGUGGUGGGGGUGGGUCCUGUGGCGGGGACGGGUCUUGUCACAGUGGGGAUGGGUCUUUUCAUGGCGGGGACGGAUCUUGUUGUUGUGGGGACGGGUCUUUUCAUGGCGGGGAUGGGUCCUGUCAUGGUGGGGACGGGUCUUCUUGUUGUGGGCAUGGGUCCUGUCACAGUGGGGACGGGUCUUUUCAUGUCGGGGAUGGGUCUUGUUGCGGGGAUGGGUCUGGUCACAGCAGGGAUGUGCCAGGGGUUGCAGAUAAAGGGCACUGGUCAGCUUGUAGAUGUUGUGCGUAUGGAGCUGCUGUAUAUAUACCCUUGCAUUCACAUUUUUCUCAGUGUAAGUCCUUUUUUGUAGAUUGAACAGCUCAGAGUGGGAAAUUUGGGUCAAACGGUAAAAGUGUGUUUAAUUAUAAAAGAGAGGGACCAGAGUUCCCUGGUGGCUCAGCGGGUUAAGGAUCCAGCGUUGUCACUGCAGUGGGUUCGAUCUCUGGCCCUGGAACCUCCACAUGCUGCAGGCACGGCCAAAAGAAAUUUUUUAAUAAAAAAUUUUAAAAAGAGACAGACUGUCUUCCUGGUGGAUGCGCCAUUCCACACCCCUCAGCAGCGGUGGGAGUUGCAGCUGCCCCACAACCCUUGGGAGGGUCAGUGGUGCUCCCGAGGCUCCCAGAGGCCAUGUGAUGUCUGACUGCACCCAGCUUCAGUCCUCCCGGGGCUGGUGAUGCAAACCUUUUCAAGUGCCUCCCCAGACCCUUCCUGGUGAACCGUCUGUGCAAGUCUCCUUUUUCAUUUUCUGAUUUUGAUUUCAGGCUGCACCCAUGGCAUGUGAAAAUUCCCAGGCCAGGGAUCAAACCCUCAUCACAGCAGUGACCUGAGCCUCUGCUGUGACAACAUCAGACCCUUAACCCUCUGUGCCACCAGGGAACUCCUGCAAGUCUCUUUUUUUUUAGAGUAAAAGUGUAUAUAUGUAAGGAGUUCCCAUCGUGGCGCAGUGGUUAACGAAUCUGACGAGGAACCAUGAGGUUUCGAGUUCGAUCCCUGGCCUUGCUCAGUGGGUUCAGGAUCUGGCGUUGGCAUGAGCUGUGGUGUAGGUCGCAGACGCGGCUUGGUUCCCGUGUUGCUGUGACUGUGGUGUAGGCCGGUAGCUACAGCUCCGAUCAGACCCCUAGCCUGGAACCUCCAUGUGCCGCGGGUGUGGCCCUAGAAAAGGCAAAAAGACCACAAAAAAGUGCACAUAUGUAAGGUGUACAGCAUGAGUUGUUAUACACACACAUAGUGAAAUGAUUACCACACUAAUUCACAAACACAGUUGCCCUUGAGAGCCCCUGAAAUCUCCCCUCUGAGGAAAUGUCCAGUAUUCCCCACGCUGUUAUUAACCGCAGUCACCGGGCUGCACGCAAGCUCUCUCGACUCACGCACCCCACAGACCUUCAGCCAUCCUCCCCCCCACAACCGCAGUUCUACCCCCGGCUUCUAUGCAUUUGCCGUUUUCAACUUCCACGGGUGUGAAAUCUUUUUUUCUUUUUCUUUCUGUGCCUGGCUUAUGUAAUGUACCCUGCUGUCCUCCAAGCUCACCUGUGUUUGUUUCAAAUGGAAGGACCCCUUUCCUGUUUAAGGCUGCGUCAUAUUCCAUCGUACCUGGACCCCACCAUUUCUUUAUCAGUUCGUCUGUCUGUGGACACGUAGGCUGUUCGGGUCUUUUGCCUGCUUGCUGACUGGCUCAUUUGUCUUUAUGCAGAGAUGUCUUUGUUCCUCUCCCCUCACUGAUUUUAUGAGUAAGCACAUGGAAGCACAGAGAGGUUAAGUGACUUGCCUGAAUAUGCACAGCUGAUAACCAGCAGAGCCAGAAAACAGGAAUCCACGCCACCUCCUUGGUGGGAAGAACAGCAGAGAGGAGAGAGGCCCUUACUCCUUGUGAGUGUGUGUGUGUGUGUGUGUGUGUGUGUGUGUGUGUGUGCACUCAGUUCUGACUUUUACAAACAUGCGGCCAUUCCAUGUUCUGAGACACGCUCCAGACACGGAUUGUUCAAGGAUCUCCACAGGGCCUGGCCGGUACCCACCUCGGGGCCUUUGCACCUGCUAUGCCCUCAGCCAGGAAAGGGGAAGGACUUUCUCUUUCCCGUCAUCCCCUUCUCAUGUCAAGUCUCAGCCCCCACAUCACAGCCUCCGAGGGCCAUGUCCAAACUUACCCUCUGGGGUUGGCUCAUUAAGCUGCUGACCGCCCCUCUUUCCAAGGCGGGUUUAAACUCUACGUGCUCAGGCAGCUUGUUCAGGAUGGGUCAUCCUUCAUCCACCACUGGCUCCCGGGAGGGAGGGACCUGGGUGGGCCUGGCCUCACCAGGUGAACCUUCCAAAGCUGAGCCUUGGCUCAGACUGGUCAGCUGCUCCCAGAGAAACACAGAGACAGGGUCCCGCCGGCCUGGACGAGGAAGAAGCAGCUGCGGUUGUGUGCAUCCCUGGAGGAGGACGCAGCCCCCCUCGGACAGGCAGAGAGACGACUCGCCCCCGAGCCCAGCAGCCGCAGGGGAAGGUCUGCCUGCAGCCAGGCGGGGGCGUGUGCGCGCACAUGCGCGUGUGUGCCCUCGGGUAAGGCCCCGGCCUGGAGAACACGGUGACCGACUCAGCGACCCACGCACGGGACCCUGAGCCGGGAAGCCGGCAUACGGUACCCUUUGUGCCGCCUUAAGCGGCUGAGUCGGUGGUGACUUGUGACACAGCAGCAGAAAACCAGCCCGCCUUCCACGGGCCAUUCCACGGACACUGCCUGACCUGCUCACGGCUGCCCCCGAAGCCCCCACGCAGGGCGGAGGCGGGGGUCCAGGAGGUCUGCUCGGCCCCCCUCGCACCCCCAGACCCUCGUGAUGGGGGCUUCCGUUCUCGAGUUAGAGGGAACGCUUUGGGGCCAUCGGUGAGUUAUGGGACCAGCCGGGUGUCACAGACCUGGUCCCCAGCCUGGCUUUGCUCCUUCUGGCUGGUGUCAGAAGCUCUGUGACCCCAAGCGGUUCCUUCAUAAAGUGGGGCCCGUUCAGUGCCUUCCCCGUGGGCUCGUGGAAUUGAAUAACUGGAUCUGUUUCUAAAGCACUUGGCACAGGGUCUGGAAACGCCGCCGACCUGUUACCUGAAGUCACUGCAUCCAGACCUGCCCUCCCACAUGUAUAACAUCUGUGCCAGGGCACACGCAGGCGCUGUUAAAUGUCUCUCUCACAUACACACACACACAGAGUCCCAAACAGACACCCUCCCCCUUCCAAAGCCCAGAUCAUCAGCAUUUGUUCAGUAGGCACGUCAUUGACACUGAGCAGCCUCAAGACGCUGUGCAGGACGCAUAGGGCAGCAAACUACAUCCUUGCAAAAUACAGCUGCGAAAUGACCGAUUCUCAAACGGUAGAGGGAACACUGCUUAGACACAGAAGGCAGCGGUACAUUUGCCAGACAGAUGGGGAGCGUCGGCGGGUCCCUCCCUGCUCUGGAAAGCUUGCUCGCCCGCGCGCGCGCGCGCUGUGCGUGCCAGGCUGCGUUCAAGAGCACCGUUCCCAUCCCCUGGUUGGAAUCUAGCCUGGCUUUCAGCUCGGUGGAAAGGCCGUGGGAUUCUGGAGAGCGGAGGGUCUGUCCUGGCCGCUUGGCCUCGGGUGACAAUUCUUUUUGUUCGAAUCUAAGCAUGGUUGCUCGACAGCCUUGUGCCGGUUUCUGCCGCACAGCAUAGUAACCCACUUGCACACAUGCACACACUCAUUUUUUCACACUGUCUUCCAUCGCAGUCCCUCCCAAGAGACUGGACACGGUUCCCCGUGCUGUACAGCAGGACCUCAUCGCCUAUGCAUUUCCUGUGAAGAUUCUAACGGCUUCUCGCCAUCUGUCCAUAUUCACUGGGGCCCGUCCUGGGUUGAAGGGAGUGAGGCUCUCGGCUUGGGUACAAAUUUUAAGUGUGGGGGUGAGGAGAGUGCAGACAUCUCAGUGAUCAAGAGAGAUAAUUUUUUUUUUUUUGGUCUUUUUAGGGCCACACCUGCAGCAUAGGGAGGUUCCCAGUCUAGGGGAAUCCAGCUUGGAAUCAGAGCUGUAGCCACCAGCCUACCCCAGAGCCACAGCAAUGCCAGAUCCGAACUGCGUCUGCGACCUACACCACAGCUCACAGCAACACCGGAUCCUUAACCCACUGAGCGAGGCCAGGAAUGGAACUCGCAACCUCAUGGUUCCUGGAUGGAUUCUUUUCCAAUGUACCACGAUGGGAACGCCAAGAGAUAAUAUUUUAAUGCAGCGUUUCCUUAAAAUUUCCCAGUUAAAAUGGUGGGAAAAAUCAACGAGGAAGAAAUGCCCACAUGUUAACGGAAGACGGGCUCUCGCAGGGCUGCGAGUAGGGCAAGGUGAGGCGACGAGUCCUGCAAAGCUCAGGGUGGAAAUGUUGAUGUUGCGCUCCUCACGGACUGGAGGCAUUAUCCUUUCUUUUUUAAGCAAACGGCACUGGCACCGGGGCCUUCUCGUGGCUCAGGAGCCUGAGAAUCAGGCAUGAUCCCUGCAGCAGUUCCCUUCGCUGCUGCAGUGUGGCUGCGCGACCUGGCCGGGGACUUUCGCGUGCCUCUGCUGCGCAGUAUUGCCCUGAGUCCUGAGGACUCGGCUUCCCUUACGUGGUGCGCCCAGGUGAACACCUCGGGGGCCCGCCAGCCCCUCCCCCCGCAGCAUCUCUGAUCCUUUCUCUCUGUCCCCACCGUGAAUACCCUCGUUCUUUCCACCACCGCGUCUGGCUGGAGCCGGCACAGCAAACUCCCCGCCACCUGCUGCAUCCUGGUCUGGACACGACCUCCAAGCUGCUGGCACUGAAACUCGGGGUGACUUCCUCCGCAAACCCUCCCCCCAAAGCCCACUCCCAUCAUCCUCUCCCACCGUCUAGAUGUCUCCCCCCUGCCUCCCCCACCCCCAUCCCCACCAUCGCCCAGUUUGGGUUAUAGCAACUGAUGCUGCUAUUUUCUCACCUCUUUUCAGUUCUCUGCGCCAUUUCCCAGGGUGGGGGACCGGUCACACAAGUGUGAUGUCAUUUCAGAUGGUCCGGCUCCAAGGACAAUUAAACUUUACCAUACAAUGUUAUACCCUUGGGAGUUCCCGUGGUGGCUCAGUGGAUUAAGAACCCGACACAGUGUCUGCGAGGAUGCGGGUUCAAUCCCUGGCCUCGCUCAGUAGGUUAAGGACCUGGCACUGCCACAAGCUGUGACUUAGAUAACAGAUGCGGCUCGGAUCCCGCAUUCCUGUGGCUGUGGUGUAGGUGGGCAGCUUCAGCUCCCACUCGACCCCUCGCCUGGGAACCUCCAUGUGCUGCAGGUGCCACUGUAAAAGGAAAAAAAAAAAAA